AUUCUGCUCGGCAGUCGACAGGGUGAAGUUUAGGUUAAUGUGUUAAGUAUUACGUUAUUGUGAAACAAUUUAUCUCAAAAUUCUGUAAAGGCAAUUGGCAAAUUAUCUAGCUCAUAAAAUCUUGCAAUUUGAUCUAGGAGAACGUAUGCACUCCAGCAAAUGCGUACGGCGGUGCAGUGGGCGUAUUGUGUCGAGUACGUGAUAUCCAGAUGGUCGGCAUUGGUUUCUAAUUUGACGUACUGAAGCCGUCUGGAACAAGAGUGCUAAGAGCCAAGCCAUGGGGAAGAAAAUUCAUUCUCUCUGUUCAAAUGACCAGUGUAACAGCCAAAAUGACAAGGGCUUUGUUGUUGUUGCUUAGACGUUCUGAUGUUCGAAUUUUGAUAAGGUUGUAGAUCCUGCCAAUACGGAAGUUCAGCCAAUGUUGUAGCACGACAAGUUGAUGCCCUCGUUACGUCGUGCGGUUCGGGUUAGUUUCACCGAGAUGAGGAAAAGCUAAUAUAAAAGCUGUACAAAAAACGAAAGCAAAUCUCAGAGGAGCAGGCAAAAUGCAUGGACAUAAUUUAAGUUGCUUCUGUAAAAUCAACAAAACAAACAAAAAAUAUUAUAAAAAUUGAAUUUAAUU